CCUACGGGGGACAGCAGUCGAGAAUCAUUCACAAUGGGGGAAACCCUGAUGGUGCGACGCCGCGUGGGGGAAUGAAGGUCUUCGGAUUGUAAACCCCUGUCAUGUGGGAGCAAAUUAAAAAGAUAGUACCACAAGAGGAAGAGACGGCUAACUCUGUGCCAGCAGCCGCGGUAAUACAGAGGUCUCAAGCGUUGUUCGGAAUCACUGGGCGUAAAGCGUGCGUAGGCUGUUUCGUAAGUCGUGUGUGAAAGGCGGGGGCUCAAACCGCGUACGGCACAGGAUACUGCGAGACUAGAGUAAUGGAGAGGGAAGCGGAAUUCUCGGUGUAGCAGUGAAAUGCGUAGAUAUCGGGAGGAACACUCGUGGCGAAGGCGGGUUCCUGGACAUUAACUGACGCUGAGGCACGAAGGCCAGGGGAGCGAAAGGGAUUAGAUACCCCAGUAGUC
rnacentral:rRNA from 1 species